rnacentral:misc_RNA from 1 species
UGGACGGGGUCGACCAACGGCAUCUUUUAUUGCAUCAGUAAGAACAGAGCUGAUGAGUACAGAGUACAACAAUCCUAAUAUAGCUUGAUGCACAUCGUAAACAUCCUUCCUGAUGAAGUAAAACACAAGUAUGACUAGCAAAGGUAAGACUAUAGCAAUAAUCGGAACAGCCCAAAAGGGAAUGGUAUUGUCUUUCAAAGGGUAACUUAAAUCUGUCAUCAUGUCAGAUCCAACAAAGCGGUGAAAUGGUUCUAUCACAUUUAAAAUUAUAUCUAUCACCACAAGUACGAAGAGAAUAAACCAGUCAUGCAUGUGAAAUCUUGCUACUUCCACUCCCUGGUUUCUGAACGUAUGGGCGCCCAACUGAAUCUCUGGCAUUUUACCAACUCAAAACGAUCUGUAGAAGAGAAUGCGGAGGAGAAAAUGCUUUCGUUUUGCUUCUGUAAAUUCAAAUAAUUGGAGAGAUAAAGGUGAAGAGGAAAAGCAAAAGCAAACGAAGCGUCAAAAAUGCAGAGAGUGAUAAAAAAAAAGUGAAA